AUCGCUUCUCGGCCUUUUGGCUAAGAUCAAGUGUAGUAUCUGUUCUUAUCAGUUUAAAAAUGGGCAGGAGACUUGAGUAGACAUUUUUCCAAAGAAGACAUAAA
rnacentral:snRNA from 1 species